rnacentral:rRNA from 1 species
AGGAAAUAGAUACCCAGGUAGUCCCAGCCGUAAACGAUGCUCGCUAGGUGUCAGACAUGGCGCGACCGUGUCUGGUGCCGCAGGGAAGCCGUGAAGCGAGCCACCUGGGAAGUACGGCCGCAAGGCUGAAACUUAAAGGAAUUGGCGGGGAGCACAACAACGGGUGGAGCCUGCGGUUUAAUUGGACUCAACGCCGGACAACUCACCGGGGACGACAGCAAAAUGUAGGCCAGGCUGAAGACCUUGCCUGAAUCGCUGAGAGGAGGUGCAUGGCCGUCGCCAGUUCGUACUGUGAAGCAUCCUGUUAAGUCAGGCAACGAGCGAGACCCGUGCCCACUGUUACCAGCAUAUCCUCCGGGAUGAUGGGUACUCUGUGGGGACCGCCGGUGUUAAAUCGGAGGAAGGUGCGGGCCACGGUAGGUCAGUAUGCCCCGAAUUUCCCGGGCUACACGCGGGCUACAAUGAAUGGGACAAUGGGUCCCGUACCCCGAAACGGGUUGGUAAUCUCACAAACCCAUCCGUAGUUCGGAUCGAGGGCGUGUAACUCGCCCU